GCUAGAAAUAUUACAAUUUUUUGUCUAUGUUUAGGCCUAAGAGGACACGGGGGGCCUGGCAGGCAACAGGGCCCUGGCCAUCAGCUCCAACAGGGCGCCCGCUCAUGCACAGACCAGCUACAGUGCCCCAGAGAGAACCCCGGGGUGGGCAGGACCGGGCGCUCCCAGACAGGCACUCACACAGUGCUCUAUCUCAGCCCAAGCCCCCUUCCCUGAACCUCAGAGCCUGAACUCCUCGGAAAGGUGUCUUCCACGGUUCGGCACUAAGGGGAAACAGCCACGUUGCCCCUUAAGAUCAGUGAAACUGCUCACACUCUUCAAACCAGAACUUCAGAGCACUCACUCUGCCAGACCCGAGCUGCCCUCCGACGACAGAUAUUAAAACAGUAGAGGCGAAGCCCUUCGGAGCACACAGAGACAGAGAGGUGACGCGCGGUCCGGCCUUCGGGAUGAACUUCCAGGGUGAGAAGCAGCCACGGAGCCUGAGACCCCAGGGGGUGCGCUGAAUGGUACGGGAUUGAUCCGAAUUGCUAUGUAGCCCAGACUGGCAGCCUCCAGAUUCGGCGAUGCCCCGUCCCAGCCUCCCAGUGCACUGCCACACCUGGAAAAGCCUUAAUCUUCUCACAGAGCUGACUCUGGGCACCAGGAUGGUUUUAUUUUGGAUGUUUUUGGUUUUUGUCUGUCUGUCUGUCUUAAACAUUUCAGGAAAUGAUAGGCUCGUCCUCAGCAAAUCGCAGCUUUUGAGUC
rnacentral:lncRNA from 1 species